rnacentral:lncRNA from 1 species
AUGCCUGAACCUUCUACUGACUUUCCUAUGUUUAGCAAGAAGUAUUCAAAAAAAAAAAAAAAGCUGCCUCUAAAACCCAGUAGGGAAAAAGAAGUGAAAGAGAUGGGGCCACUGAGAGAGUUACUCCACCGAUGCCCACAAUGUUCUGAAGCAGGUUCAUGCUGACUUAGGCAUUUCAUUAAGAGCCCACAAACAUCUUGGAUUAUUUACUUGAUGACAUCCAUGAGUGCAUCCCAAACAAGGCCUGUUAGCUGGUCUGUUACAAAAGGUGCUCAGGCAUCAUCUCCAGAGAGGUUCAAACUGUUUUUCACCUGCUGCUUCCCAUAAAGGUGGCUGUUCACACUGGUUCUGAGGGCAUGAAGGCCGUCAUCAAGUACAUCAGCCACAAAUGA